UAUUCUCCUUCAUUAGGCAUACGACGAUCGGGCCCAUUCCGAAAAAAUAUUAGAGAUAUGGUUUCUAUCGACUAAAACCGGUUUUUUAUUGUCGUUCACCAAUGGAAUGGAACUGGGUGCUUUGUACAAAAACAUGGGUCGUUGAACACGUUCGGAUGGUCACUCCGAAGCUGGUUAGGUCGUCGAAGCGAUGCUGCUGCAAACCGAAUCGAAUGGCAAUGAUCACAAAUUUAACACAUCGAUUCAAUCGAUACCACCAAAAACGUUGAUGUUAGGAUAUGAUUUAACAAAACAUUGGCCACGUUUGGUUUAUCCAUUUAGCGUAGCUUCACAUAGAAACCCACCAAUGAGCCCCACGUGGUUUACCAGAUACGUUGACUCCGUUGAUCGAUAAGGGCAUCGUUUCUGAUUUACCCAGCUCAUGUCAGGUUCAUUCGCUAAGUACCGUGACAUCGCUUGCAGAGUCGAUUUGCAACGACGCUGUAACCACCAGGAUACGUUUCCUUCUUCAUUUCAGGUCGAUUGAGCUAGGCUUUAAUCACCGCCGGUCGAUUUUGUCAUGGAGCCGCUGUUACGUUCUUUGAGGACAACGCAAUUGCAGGCAGCGAUAAUCAGAAAAUGGGCAGUCAUUGACAGCAAGGUUGGAUGCACGACGCGACGUACUUUGAAUCCGUUGGUUUUUCGAUGAGCGUUGUGCCCGCCACGAGAUUGAUAUGUAGCUGGAACUCGUCGAUGAACUUCUGGAGACACCUGUGCGUCAACCGUGCCGUCCCUAUGCGAGAAAGGAGACGUACCGAAACUUCCGCGUAACGUUAUGCUUGAAGACCACUAACACAAUCCAUUUUUCAAAUUCGAACUCCUCGCAAGCACGAUUUACUUUCCCCCUUUAGCUGAUCCGAAUAACGUGCAAACCAUUCUUCGAACGUGAUACCGUGGAAAGGGACAUACGUUGAUGGGCUACCUAAUUUUGGUUUCCAGAAAGUUACUCAGCGCAUUGUAUUGAAGCGUUGGAAUUAUUCCCUGACAGAAUUAUGUAACUGUCGUUAUUCCAUUACUUCAGACAUUCGUUAUCAACAAAAAAAAUGUUCUAGUACCCUCUUGCAAUUCUCAAACUACAUCUACUAAAUGAAAUGGCUAACUGAAUAAAGCUAUAUGAGUAAUAGUAGGACUAAUGUAUUAAAAAACUUUAAUCUACCUUGAAACUCUGCUCUUAUUCCCUUCACUGGAAUCUAUCUAUAAAUUAUCCUUAGUUGCAUUGUGUUGUAAUGUUGUAGUGUAUGGAGAUUCGUCUAACGAUACUUAUGUCGUGUCAUGGUCCCAUUGUUGCUGAAUGAAGAAGUUCAUAGAACGCACAAACAUGCGAAUACGUAGUCAAUAGAACACAAAGAAAGUUUAACAAGUUCUCGUAGUAGGCAGUAGCGGAUAGUGGAGUACAAUAUAGGAAGAAGUGGAGAUUUCGUUGGGAGUAUUUCGUCCGGUGUUGUUUAAACUAUCACCUCAGGAUGUCAUUCGAUAAAUUCGUCCGAAGGAACCUCGUAAAUGGCCUACGUGGGAGGAAAUGUGUUGCAGGAUUACACAUUAAGAUAAAGAACCGGAAGAAAUUUAUACAAUUAGUGGAAACAGAGACAUAAGGUUUCAGAUGCUAUACUAAAAGAACUUCUAUAUGUUAGUUGAUUUCUACGAUUGCACAAAAA